UCCCGCAACGAGCGCAACCCUAUUGCAGUUACCAUCAUUAAGUUGGGGACUCUAGCGAGACUGCCAGUGAUAAACUGGAGGAAGGUGGGGAUGACGUCAAAUCAUCAUGCCCCUUAUGACCUGGGCUACAAACGUGAUACAAUGGCUGGAACAAAGGGAUGCGAAGCAGUGAUGUGGAAGCGAAACCCAUAAAAACAGUCUCAGUUCGGAUUGAAGUCUGCAACUCGACUUCAUGAAGUCGGAAUCGCUAGUAAUCGCGGAUCAGAACGCCGCGGUGAAUACGUUCUCGGGGUUU
rnacentral:rRNA from 1 species